GGGCAUGUGGUUUAGUGGUAGAGCAACCCAUCAGAUGGGGUAGGUCCUGGGUUUGAUUCCUAGCAUAUCCA
rnacentral:tRNA from 1 species